rnacentral:rRNA from 1 species
AACGAACGCUGGCGGCAGGCCUAACACAUGCAAGUCGAGCGAGGACUUCGGUCCUAGCGGCGGACGGGUGAGUAACGCGUGGGAACGUGCCCUUUGCUUCGGAAUAGCCCUGGGAAACUGGGAGUAAUACCGGAUGAGCCCUUUGGGGGAAAGAUUUAUCGGCGAAGGAUCGGCCCGCGUUGGAUUAGGUAGUUGGUGGGGUAAUGGCCUACCAAGCCGACGAUCCAUAGCUGGUUUGAGAGGAUGAUCAGCCACACUGGGACUGAGACACGGCCCAGACUCCUACGGGAGGCAGAAGUGGGGAAUCUUAGACAAUGGGGGAAACCCUGAUCUAGCCAUGCCGCGUGAGCGAUGAAGGCCUUAGGGUUGUAAAGCUCUUUCAGCUGGGAAGAUAAUGACGGUACCAGCAGAAGAAGCCCCGGCUAACUCCGUG